rnacentral:rRNA from 1 species
GUCAGCAGCCGCGGGAACACCGGCGGCCCGAGUGGUGAUCGUGAUUAUUGGGUCCAAAGGGUCCGUAGCCGGUUUGGUCAGUCCUCCGGGAAAUCUGAUAGCUCAACUAUUAGGCUUUCGGGGGAUACUGCCAGACUUGGAACCGGGAGAGGUAAGAGGUACUACAGGGGUAGGAGUGAAAUCUUGUAAUCCCUGUGGGACCACCUGUGGCGAAGGCGUCUUACCAGAACGGGUUCGACGGUGAGGGACGAAAGCUGGGGGCACGAACCGGAUUAGAUACCCGGGUAGUCCCAGCCGUAAACGAUGCUCGCUAGGUGUCAGGCAUGGCGCGACCGUGUCUGGUGCCGCAGGGAAGCCGUGAAGCGAGCCACCUGGGAAGUACGGCCGCAAGGCUGAAACUUAAAGGAAUUGGCGGGGGAGCACAACAACGGGUGGAGCCUGCGGUUUAAUUGGACUCAACGCCGGACAACUCACCGGGGGCGACAGCAAUAUGUAGGCCAAGCUGAAGACUUUGCCUGAAUCGCUGAGAGUGGAGGUGCAUGG